rnacentral:rRNA from 1 species
UACGUAGGGGGCGAGCGUUGUCCGGAUUUAUUGGGCGUAAAGAGCGUGUAGGCGGUUCGGUAAGUCUGUCGUGAAAUCCUGAGGCUCAACCUCGGGCGUGCGAUGGAUACUGCCGGGCUAGAGGGUGGUAGAGGCGAGUGGAAUUCCCGGUGUAGCGGUGAAAUGCGCAGAUAUCGGGAGGAACACCAGUAGCGAAGGCGGCUCGCUGGGCCACACCUGACGCUGAGACGCGAAAGCCAGGGGAGCAAACGGG